rnacentral:misc_RNA from 1 species
GAUGAAGAACGCAGCGAAAUGCGAUAAGUAAUGUGAAUUGCAGAAUUCAGUGAAUCAUCGAAUCUUUGAACGCACAUUGCGCCCUCUGGUAUUCCGGAGGGCAUGCCUGUUCGAGCGUCAUUUCGACCCUCAAGCAUUGCUUGGUGUUGGGGCACCGCCUGUAAAAGGGCGGGCCCUGAAAUCUAGUGGCGAGCUCGCCAGGACCCCGAGCGUAGUAAUUAUAUUUCGUUCUGGAAGGCCCUGGUGGUGCCCUGCCGUUAAACCCCCAACUUCUGAAAAUUUGACCUCGGAUCAGGUAGGAAUACCCGCUGAACUUAAGCAUAUCAAUAAGCGGAGGA